GCCGGCCCACUGGCUAGUUGCAGGCGACGCUAGCGGGCGGCGCAUAGCCGCCCUCUCCCUACGGCGCGGCACGCCGCCGUCGCCGCCUCCGUUCUCGGCCGUCUCCCACGGCGCUAGCAGCCCCGGAUCAGCACUCUCCUUCCAGUCCACCCCCAGCGGCGCCUCGCCAUUCCUCCCUCGGCGCGGCCCUGCGGCUAAUCCUAGCCCCGAGGGUUCCCGCCGCGGCGUCGCCAUGGACGCCGAUGCCGCCUUCAGCUUCCUCCCCCGUCGUCUUCAGCGCGUCUCCAUCCCGGACUUCAGCAUCCACCCCCAGGCCUCUUCGUCCUACGAGGCGGCACAACGAAGAAUGGCGGUUUCCUGCCACCUCCAUCCAUGGCUCCUCUUCCUCGCGCGUAUCUGCCGGCGGGAGACCGCCUCCUCCGUCCCCGCAUCACAGAUAGGUAUACAAGUUCGGUCAACUGAUUCAGAUAAAUUGAUAUGUUGUGGGGAUCCAGGAGCAGAAUCUUUUUGUACAAUCACAACCUGUAGCUUGCUUUCUAGGAGCAGGAGGUGGAUCUGUGAUCCUGUCUUUGGGUAAAGGAAAUUCAGAAUUGGCAACAAAUGCUCUGGAAACAGCACCUUUUCUGCUUGGAUGAGCUGUUGCCUUCUGGUCUUACUUGAUAUCGAGUGAGAGGAAGGUUCGCUUGAACGUAGUCUCAGUGCAAUUGGUAGGCAAGAAGCUCCUGCUUCAUGAGCUCCACACCACAAUCUAAAUAUUCAGCACACCAUCAAAGAAAAAUCUCUCACAGCGGCAAUUGGAUGUGGCUUUGUGUUCUUUUAGCAGGAGGUCUGUACAAGUAAUCUGUGUACAAGUCCAAGUGAUAGCUCAUUGCUGCUUUGUUUUGCAACAAAGCUCUUAUGAUGGAUUUGCUCCAAGAAAUGAGGAGACAAAGGGAAUAAUACCAUGGGAGUCGCAUCCUCAAGGAAGUGGGCCUGAUUCAUACUCCCUCCGUCUCAAAAUAAGUGUCUUGAGCUUAGUACAAAUUUGUACUAGAGCUAGUACAAAGUUGAGACACUUAUUUUGGGACGGAGGGAGUAUGAUUUAUCUUCCAGGUACAACAUCAAUCCAGGGGUAGCAUCAAACUGUUGAGUGUGAUUGUUUUGCUGGAACCUUGGCGUGGGUUGAAUAAGUUUUUGGGCUGAUUCACAAGGUAUAACCUGAAUUUAUCUCACUGGGUUCAGGUGGGUGUUGUUACAUCAACCUUUCCUAGCUACUCUCUCCGUUCCUAAAUAUUUGUCUUUCUAGACAUUUCAAAUGACUACCACAUACGGAUGUAUGUAGACAUAUUUUAGAGUGUAGAUUCACUCAGUUUGCUCCGUAUGUAGUCACUUGUUGAAAUGCCUAGAAAGACAAGUAUUUAGGAACGGAGGGAGUACAAGGCAUGCAUGCAUGUUGAGAGUCUUGAGACAGGAGUCUAUAUCAGGUGCAUAUUCGAGUGAGCGUGUAUAUAACUUGUAAACAAACCAAUUUUCUUGUAACCACACAUGCUUAACAAGUAAUCACAGAGUGCAUCUCAACGCAUUAAAAUGGCUGAACUAUGUAACAAGCAGUGUUACCUUGUCGGAAUGUGGGUCCGUCGUAGAAUGGAACCGGAACACUCCUCGUUGACUGCAGAGGCAGAGAAGAAAAACAGAAGUUGAUAUGAGAUCAACUUGCAAAAACUCAAGAAACUGAUGCUUCUACAAUCUGGGCAAGCAAGCACCCUCGACACAUCGGGCAGGAUCAUGGACUUCUCAUGGUACACCUUCACAACAGGAGCUCCCGCCCCGGUGCCGAGCCCUGCCAUGGUGGCCAGAGCUCUCUCUCCUCUGGUUGAAGAAGUGAAGCCGGAGCUGUAUGCAAGUGAGUACUGUAAGCCCACCUUCAUUUUUUUAAUAUAAGAAGGUCAUCUGCCUCCAUGAAGAAGCAAAGAGAAGAUGCUUAAAGUGAGAACCAAGGAGGUGAGUGUACGGGACGAUAGAAAUAGAUAGAGGCAGGAUAAAGAAAAGGAAAAGACAGAGAACAAAGGAGAGAAAAAGCAAAAGGUAAAAGUGAAGUAAAUCUGGAGGGUUUUGAUUUUCGAUGGUGUUCUUUAGGUGUUGCCAUCAUGAGGGUCACAUCAGCAAUGCUAAGGUACUGUCUAUUUAAAGGGAAAGGGGUGAAAACAAAGUCAAAAGCUAUUUCUUGGACACCGCCUCUUUUAGUAACCAAUCGACUCACACGGGAAACGUCUCAAAUGAAGUAACGGACACUGUUCUAUUUGUUGGGUUAUGUCUCGCUUUAUUCAUUUCUUGGCCCUUUAACCAAAGGAGAUGCGGAAUGCCGGUACGGGAGCACGGAGGUUUUGUCUAGGAAGGCAAGUUUAGCAUCAGACCUGUAUGGCCCCUUCCUUGUACCAGCCCCCCAGUCUACCAGACAAACGGGAUGAGUGAUGGGCAUCCAGGGUGCCUUUGUUGUUUGUAUCACCAGCCUGACCGACAUGGGGACUUCAGACAGAGGAUACCUCAGUAAAUUGCCAAUCACGGGCCAUCUAGGAAGCAUGUGCUGCAACGUAGGUAGAAUCAUGUGUUGUCCAAGUGUGUGCAGUUUUUGUGGAGUGAAUUGAGUACCGAGUAUUAUGCUUCAUUUUUGUGGAUCAGAACCGGAACGAGUUAGAAUAGAAUGAAGCAUAACACUAUGAAAGUACUAAGCAAAGUAUCAAGUAUUCAGAGAGUUUGCAGUCCUGCUGGAGCGAUGGGGUUCUUGUUUCCUGUCACCCUGGUAAAUUCCUCAGUUUGUCGUUGUAGCUUAUUUCAAGGGUAUCCAACAUGUCUUUCUUCUGGUCUGGCUGCACGUGAAGCUUCUGUUGGGAGCUCAAGAGCUCCUGUAGAUUCUGAGUGGGCACUCUUUGUACCUGUCGAGGAUUUCAUAUAUUGUAACCAGCAUCAUAUGUGGCGGGGUUACUUCAGGAAAUAAUCUGCAGUUGAUAGCUCAUCAUGGUGGAUGGGCGUCUAGCCCAGUGGCAAGAGCGUGGCUGUGCGCCUUGGCUUACUCAAGUUCAAAUCAUGUGCCGCGAUGAUGAUGAAGACAUGGAAGAAGGAGGCUGAAGACACAUAACCCGGAAGCCUGUGUGCUGGAUGUGAAAAAUGUCUUUUGAUAAACUGGGUUUGAGGAAGUGUGGGAAGGCUGUGCGUUGGGUGGACAAAGGAAGAGCGCAGGAAGUCCCUAGUACUAAUCACACAUUAGCGGCAGCUACAGGAAAUCUGCAAGGAUAUUUCAUAUUCAUUCCUGCCAAUACAUGACGUAAACAGAGUAGCUUACUUUAGUUCGGAACCAGUGUUCAGUAUUUGUGUUGUGUGCCUCGCCAAAGAAAGAAGUACUGUAUUAGUGUCCGUCAUGCAAGUGACCCGGAUACCAACAAGAGCGUAAAUUUUUUCAACUGUAUCCUUCGUUCUCCAUCUUAAUUUCUUUUAGUGCCUGACAAAGAUAGUUUGUA